rnacentral:lncRNA from 1 species
CCAGUUUGACCUACCCUUUUGGUGCUUGUCCCAAGCACCAUUCCUAUGCCACUCCACAAGUGUUGCAACGAAAGCUGCCUCAAGUGUAGGGUGAUUUUUCCAAUCGGCUACUUCAGAAUCAUCAUUCAUCUAAUGCAAUAAACAAGAAAAGUUCAUAGUAAAUAACGUUUAGAUUGUACAAGGAAACAAAAAAUUCAAAGUGAGUGCUGGAACUUCAAAGUAGGAACCACUUCCAUACCUUUACGAAGUAAUUUCUCGCACAAGCACCCAAAUCGUUUGAACCGCUCUCGGAAUGUGCUUGUUGGACUGCAUGAAAGCAAAAUAUAAAAAAUGCUUCCUUAUUUGGUUUAACAAAUAAACACAAAUAGGCAUUCAAAGCAGUACAGCAAUCCCAAGCUAAGAAUUUUUAGCUAAACAGAUUAUGAGAUCAUUAACGAAUGUAUAGAAAUUGAAAAUAAUAGCAACCAAAACCAAAAUCAUAUAUGGAUGAAGAUCGUACCGCUGCUCUUAUGUACUCGACGGCGCUUAUGUGGCAUAUAAACGUGGCAGCGACAAAAAAUGGCGGACCUAACAGUCACGCACCAACUGGCUGCUUUAAAGACAAAAAGGGCAGCAAAAAAGAGAUGUUAGUGACCAAUGGCUGAUAGUAAAACCUUUAACCAACCAGCAAACCUAUUAUGAUGCCUUUAAUUGGACAGAGACCUUUUAGACUCUACAUUGUCGGGAACUACAUGUGUAAGUAUUAAUCAAGCAACUUAGGAUCCAAAAUGCAGGUAUGUGGAUUAGCCUGGUCAAUUUUUAAAUCUUGAAUCAACACUUGCUAGAAGAAUACAUAUAAUUUGAGUGAAGUAAAAUUCAUCUCGACCAAUGCACAAUUGCUGAUGUAAUGAGAAAAGGUUAACUAGUUCAUUUUGCAGCUAAACCAAAUUUGGAUAUAGGAAAAAUAAAAUGGACAUGGAAACAACACCAAAUACAAUGAACAUUUUCUUCUAGUAUUAUGGUGCAAAAAGGACCUUUAACCAUAAAAACAUCUAUUCAGAUCAAGAAAAGAAAAGUUCACUAAUAGGUGAAUUGGUAUUUCAAAUGACAUGAAAGUAUCGGCAUUCAAAAUAACCACUUUAAACUAUCAAGAUGAGCAUAAGCCUGCCAUUAUAAGAAAUUGUACUCUUAAUAAUUCAUAACCUAUGACAAUAGCCAAGCCCCCGCUCUUCUUCAAUGGCCUUGACUAGGAGGAGGCAUUUAAGGUUCUCCCUGUUUGCAAGAUCUGAAGUUCGAGGCCUUGCCUAGUAGAUUGGGGUUCAGAGAGGAUUUGGGGAGUGGGAGGCAAAAAAUAUACUGGGACAGUAAAAGAAGAAAGAAAGCUAGCAUAGCGAUAGCUUUCAUGUACAGAGAUUAAAUUGGGGAAAAAAAUCCUAAUUAUGGAUACUUCUCAUUUCAGAAGUUGAAGUUAGAAUUACAUCUCAUACCACAGUUCUAGGAAGCCCAAUGAGUUGCAAGCCAGGCAGGGAACUUCUUGAAGGAAAAUUCUUCCAUUUUUUGUCCGCAUUAAUUCUCAAGAAAAUAAAAACAACACUUUGUUCGUGAUACUAUAAAUUCUAUAAUUAAACACAGGAGCUUGAUACAAUUGUUUUGUUAAGAGCAGGCCGUCAUUGUGAAGGAAAUCGAAGAAUCAAAUACUGCUGCAUAUUCAUGUUGAAACAAAUUGCAGAUUCUACAGGGAAUCUAAUUUUGUAGGAGCUACCGAACCCUAAUUACAAUACAAAAAAAGACUCAGGCACUGCACAUACCCAUUCACUACUUAACAUAAUAACAAACUGGAAUGGAUCAGGAGAAAAUUGGAAGAAAAAAUCCCAUCUUGAUUCGCAAGACUGGGGAAACAUACCUUGAGGCUUAAAGGUUGGAAGCCACGCACAUAAUCAAAAUCCAGUUAGAUUCACAGAUGGACGGCGCCGGAAAAAUAUCUCAGCCGCUGGUGUCGCCGCUGAAGCUUAAUUGAAGCCAAAUUUGACAGCUACUUCGGAUCCGUUCUUCUUGUUAGUGCAUCAUGAAGAGACAAGUUGCUGGUUACCUCCUUGGCAUUCUAAUUUCAAAACCCACGGCUGAGAUAAAUGAUAUGUCAGUAAGAGGUUGGGG